CCUACGGGAGGCAGCAGUGGGGAAUAUUGGACAAUGGGCGAAAGCCUGAUCCAGCAAUGCCGCGUGAGUGAUGAAGGCCUUAGGGUUGUAAAGCUCUUUUACCAGGGAUGAUAAUGACAGUACCUGGAGAAUAAGCUCCGGCUAACUCCGUGCCAGCAGCCGCGGUAAUACGGAGGGAGCUAGCGUUGUUCGGAAUUACUGGGCGUAAAGCGUACGUAGGCGGUUAUUCAAGUCAGAGGUGAAAGCCUGGAGCUCAACUCCAGAACUGCCUUUGAAACUAGAUAGCUAGAAUCUUGGAGAGGUGAGUGGAAUUCCGAGUGUAGAGGUGAAAUUCGUAGAUAUUCGGAAGAACACCAGUGGCGAAGGCGACUCACUGGACAAGUAUUGACGCUGAGGUACGAAAGCGUGGGGAGCAAACAGGAUUAGAUACCCUGGUAGUCCACGCCGUAAACGAUGAUAACUAGCUGUUCGGGCUCUACGAGCUUGAGUGGCGCAGCUAACGCAUUAAGUUAUCCGCCUGGGGAGUACGGUCGCAAGAUUAAAACCUUAAAGGAAUUGAGG
rnacentral:rRNA from 1 species